AAAUUCCACUAGGGGUGCCUUAUGGCUGAGAUGGUGUUUACACCAAUCCCUUUGAACCUGAUCUAGUUAGAACUAGCGUAGGAAAGUGGUGCUGCUUUUUU
rnacentral:ncRNA from 2 species